UUAUUUUUUUAUAUUUUAGUAAACAAAAUAUUUUUUUUAAAUUUUAAUUUGUAGAAGCUUCUCGUAUUUUUUUUAGUAAAAAAUUACUUUUUUUAAAUUUUAAUUUGUAGAUUAUCCGGACGAAGAAUGGGUGUGGGAAAAUAUUUAUAUUUUUCAGUAUGUUCCAUCGAUCUUAUUAAAACCUCAAAGAAUUAAUAAAAUUGAAAAAAUAUAUAUAUAUAUUUUAAAUACAACUUAUACUUUAAUAGAUAAAGAUAUCAUGAAAAAAAUUAAAACUUCUGAAUAUUACGGAAUUUUAUAUAGUGUUUCUAGGGAUUGGGUGGUAGUAAGAGUAAAUGACAAAGUGAUUAUUUUAUUUGAAGUUGGUAAGGAUUUUUUUAUUUCUAGUAUCAUUGGAUACAGUUGAUUAAAAAAAAUGAUUCAAUAAAAACACUUUUUUUAGUUUUUAAAAGAAUAGACUUUUUAUUUGAGUGAACUAUUGCUACAUUGAUUGCAUUUAAUUUUUAUAUUGGAUGGGAAUUCACCCAAAUGGAAAUAAUUUGAGUCAGUUUUUGAGAAUGGAAAAAAUUGAAGAUGAAAGAUUUUAUCUUGUAUUUGGAUACUUCAACACCAUUUGGGAUUAAGUUGAUUGUACUUUCCAGACUUAUGCAAUUGUAUUGAUUGAUGUAUGUAAAUAGUCACAUGUAUUACCUAUGUGACCUUUAUUACCAUGAAUACCUGUCAUAUUUUUUUUUGUUAAUAGAAAAAAAUAUAUUUGGUAAAAUAUAUGUAAUAAUAAGUAAAUAAAUUCAAUUUAUGAUUAAAUCCAUGAAUUUAAUAUAAUCAAAAUAAUUUUUAUCUGCAUUUGUGAUAAAUGACACUCAGAUGCUUACAGUUAAGAAACAUUUCAUAUUUUUUGUUCUUACAAUUAAUAAUUUACAUAUUUUCCUGUAGAUUACAAUGUAGAACAAGCAUUACGGGCUGCACUUUAAAAUACUGUGUACUUUUGAAAAGCUAGUAAUCAUAGCAAGACGACAGAUUAAGUAGCCUAUACUGUCCAUCAAAACAGUGGUGAGCAGUAACAUCUUUAAAUGACAAGUUGCAUAGAUGGUUAACUCUCAUUGGAUAAUGGGAUGUCCUGAGCCAUUUUAGUCAACAUGCCACAGACUUGUUUUCAGAUUGUUUCUCUUGUCAUACUUGAAUGAUGAUAAACCUGAAUUUUAGAAAUCUACCCCCUUGUGUCUUUUUUAAAAACAUUGCAGAAGUGACAUGAUGCGCCUGUAUUUUAAAUUUACUGGAACAAAUUUAGAAAUAAAUUUAAAAAAUAGCUGCAUUGUGUUGCUUCAACAGAUUCUUUUACACAAGGUACAUAACGAACAAGGUAAGGACACCAAUGUUUCCUAUGGAGCUGCUAUUUUGGAUUCACAAUUCCAAGGUCAUGGUAUAUAUUUCAUGCUUAAUGCUAUGUAUGUAUGUGCAGUAAAUUACACAUUCUUUUGAGUUUGAGCCAGGGGAUUCCUUUUAUAAUUUCAAAGAGUCUUCAUUUAGAGGUUACU